rnacentral:rRNA from 1 species
GACGAACGCUGGCGGCGUGCUUAACACAUGCAAGUCGAACGGAAAGGCCCUGCUUUUGUGGGGUGCUCGAGUGGCGAACGGGUGAGUAACACGUGAGUAACCUGCCCUUGACUUUGGGAUAACUUCAGGAAACUGGGGCUAAUACCGGAUAGGAGCUCCUGCUGCAUGGUGGGGGUUGGAAAGUUUCGGCGGUUGGGGAUGGACUCGCGGCUUAUCAGCUUGUUGGUGGGGUAGUGGCUUACCAAGGCUUUGACGGGUAGCCGGCCUGAGAGGGUGACCGGCCACAUUGGGACUGAGAUACGGCCCAGACUCCUACGGGAGGCAGCAGUGGGGAAUAUUGCACAAUGGGCGGAAGCCUGAUGCAGCAACGCCGCGUGCGGGAUGACGGCCUUCGGGGUGUAAACCGCUUUCGCCUGUGACGAAGCGUGAGUGACGGUAAUGGGUAGAGAAGCACCGGCUAACUACGUG